rnacentral:rRNA from 1 species
UACAGAGGGUGCUAGCGUUGUUCGGAAUCACUGGGCGUAAAGGGCGUGUAGGCGGUAGGAUGUGUUUGAUGUGAAAGCCCUCGGCUUAACCGAGGAAGUGCAUCGAAAACUAUUCAACUAGAGUGCGAGAGAGGAUGGCGGAAUUCCCAGAGUAGAGGUGAAAUUCGUAGAUACUGGGAGGAACACCAGAGGCGAAGGCGGCCAUCUGGCUCGCAACUGACGCUGAGACGCGAAAGCGUGGGUAGCAAACAGG